CUUUAGAUACCCGGUAGUCCUAGCAGUAAACGGUGUGCGUUUGGUGUGGGAGGGUUCGACCCCUUCUGUGCCGGAGCUAACGCGUUAAACGCACCGCCUGGGGAGUACGGUCGCAAGACUAAAACUCAAAGAAAUUGACGGGGACCCGCACAAGCGGUGGAGUAUGUGGCUUAAUUCGAUGCAACGCGAAGAACCUUACCUAGGCUUGACAUGUAUUGCUAAGCUGUUGAAAGGCAGUGACCCUUCGGGGACCUUACACAGGUGCUGCAUGGCCGCCGUCAG
rnacentral:rRNA from 1 species